AUACGGAGGUGGCGAGCGUUGUUCGGAUUUAUUGGGUGUAAAGGGCAUGUAGGUGGUCAAGUAAGUCGAAUGUGAAAUGCUUUGGCUCAACCAAAGAAUUGCAUUCGAAACUGCUUGACUUGAGUUCGGGAGAGGAGAGCGGAAUUCCCGGUGUAAGAGUGAAAUCUGUAGAGAUCGGGAGGAACACCAGUGGCGAAGGCGGCUCUCUGGACCGACACUGACACUGAAAUGCGAAAGCUAGGGGAGC
rnacentral:rRNA from 1 species